UGCUGCUCUCUGGCUGUUCAUGUAGGGUCUGCAGCCCAGGGUCCACACUGUGUUGAACAAGGUGUCAGCUACCGUUUCACACGCUGACGAGAGGGAAGUAAGAGACAAACAACCAAGAGCUUCAGUCAGAACAGCAGUGACAUUGAGGCUGAAUGGUGGCCUGUAAGGACCAAGGGGUUUAAAGAUUACCAACCUUCAACCUUUGACACAAAGCCAAGGCUCUUCUUGAGGUCAGAACAGAUGCUGUGGAGGCACCAGCGGAACUUGGAGUCGCAGCGGUACUUGUUGGAGCCGCAGGUGUCGUAACACAUAUCCAGCUGGUUGCAACACUUGGUCAUGGCGGGGAUUCCUAUGUCCAUCUG